CAGCCUCAGGCUGAGGCCGCUGAGCUCCAGCUGGCGCUGCGCUAGGCGGCUAGAGUUAUGGGUUGCCAGUAUCCACUACAGUAGUGUGUUACCUUUGUCCAUGCUUGUGCAUGGGUACGUAUGGGGUUGCUGUCUACGCCAGGGCAAGCCCGGCCAUCAGUUAUCAUUGAUAGGGCAGUUUCUCCUGGAGCUGUGAGAAGCGAUGGAGAUGACAGAUUGCCUAGUGGAGACGCAGGGCUUGCAUGCAACACCACUUCAGUCUGUCCCCUUCUGCAGUGACCUUAUGAUAUCUAUUAGCAAGCUGGUGGAGGCACAAGUCCAGGAGCAGAGGAUACAACAGAACAGACCUACCUUAAUGUGCUGGGAAACCACUGGAUCUCCUGUGCCAGCAGCCAGCAGAGAGCAGGCUGCAGGCUGGGGAAGGGUUCCAUAUUUCUAAUCCUCCAAGGUGUACCAAGCCAUGAGUGCCUUCCCUGUCUCUAUGAUCAUGAGAAUUCCACUGGAGCAUGUUAUUCUUCAGUGCAAGGUGUGUUGACCUGGUCGUAUCCUUGGGAGUGUUGACGAGUUCAUGGCAUCUUCCUGGGCACCAUUGACCAAGACAAGAGAGGUCAAGACAAGUCUGACCCCACUGUUGAUCUCUUGGCAAUGUAAUGUCUGCAGGACUUGGCAAUUUCUCCUGGAGCUGCAGGAGGUGAUGGAGGUGGUGAUAGAAUACCUGAUGGAGACAUGGGGCUUGCAUGCAACACCUCCUCAGGCUGACCUGCGAUGACCGUUUGAUGUUUGUUAGCAAGCUGGUGGAAUCACAGGGCGAAGUGAAAAGGCUAAGCAGGAACUGAUAAAGUGUGUGCUGUCUUUAUCCGUACACUGCUGGUUUGACCCAUCGAGAUGCUGCCUCUCUCCAGGCUGGGUGGUGGAGUGCGUUCGGGCGGGUCGUUCUCCGGCAUACGGUGGCAGGCAGCCUGGGUUCAAGUUCCUGCCAGGCUGCCAUGGCAUGCGGUGGAAGAUGAACGUAGGGAUGCAGCGCUCACCCGCCCAAUGCAGUGCAGUGUACAACAAGGAAGGUUGGGCUAUGCCGGUCAUCCCCCUAAACAUGGGCAAACAAGUUCCGGGCGUCAGUCAUUCCCGCCACAAGUCUGGUACCGGCGUCCCUACAUAUACGCACUAUCAACUUGCAUGGUAGAGCCAUAUCUGUUUCAUCCAAGGUAACUCCUCGGCCACAUCGACGCAAGGAGUUCGACCUGUACCCGCCCAAGCAGAAGCUCCGGCAUCCUGCUGCUCCUGAUCUGUCUAAAUGAUAGCAGUCUAGUCUGCCUCUUCAGAAGAGGAAGCCGACCGCGGAGGCGUGCGGUCCGGCACAGGUCCUGCCACUUCUGAAGGGAGAACCAAAUCAGCGCUUCCUAACAACCCCUAACCUGCGGCACGAAACUGGCUAUUCUUGCAGUGGAAGACGCAAAGUGACUCGCUGCACGGAGGAAUUUGACCCUGCCUCGCACCAGCUAUGCCUUAACACGUGGUGCUAUCCAGGAGGGAAAGACGCAUUGCCUCGCUGCACCUACCAUACAGGAUUUGGACUCGCCCGGAGCACUCUCGGUGCCAUCUAGGGAGGAAGAAACAAUUUCCUCAUCUAAUUCAACCUAACCAAUACAUGUUGGCAAUCAAUCUUGUGAUGUUAUUUGUUCCAUCUUUGAAUGUACCGAACUGAACCUAACCAAUACAUGUUGCCGAUCACUCUUGUAAUGUUACUUUUCCUUCCAUCUAUGAAUGUACCCGCGUAAGUGUAAUGUUAUUGUUCCUUCCUUGUUAUGCGAUGUAUAACUUAAUAAAUCAUGAUUGAUAA
rnacentral:lncRNA from 1 species